UGAAAAUGUACAGAGAUGCCAACACAGUGUGUGCCUGCUCAUCCUUUCCCUAGAAAAAAUAUACUCAUAUAGAUCUUCAUCCUCCACAAAAUGACAGGACAGCCCCACUUGCCAGAACUAUUUUCCUGUAACUGUGCUGUGGCAUUCACACAGGCUCCUUCUGUGACAGUAAUAUGGAAGUUGUCUCCAUUGCAACUGUACACAAAAUGACAUUUUUCCCACCUAGGCAAUCGGAUUUAGCAGUUUCCUGAAACAUGCUCUCAAAAUUAUCUGUUUUAGUGGUUUUGCCCCAGAAGGAAAGGUGCUGUGAACAGCAGCUGGACUGGGCCUGCUGAGCCCUGGCACACCUGGUGAUGCUGCCCCUGUGGACCCUGCAGGAUCCAGGCUGGGCUCCACCAGGAUGUACCUUUGAGUGGAGAGGAGCAGCUCUAAGAAAGCCAAGUACUGAAGAUGUGCAGAAACCUCCGUGGGACUGGUGAUUCCACAGCUGAGAGAAUGAGAGGGGACAUAACUGAGCG
rnacentral:lncRNA from 1 species